rnacentral:tRNA from 1 species
AUCUUGAUAGCUUAACAUUAAAGCAUUAGACUUGUAAACUAAAAAUGGAAAUUUUUUUCCCCAAGAU